UACGAAGGGGGGCUAGCGUUGCUCGGAAUUACUGGGCGUAAAGCGCACGUAGGCGGCUUCUUAAGUCGGUGGUGAAAUCCUGGAGCUCAACUCCAGAACUGCCUUCGAUACUGCGGGUCUCGAGUCCGGGAGAGGUGAGUGGAAUUCCUAGUGUAGAGGUGAAAUUCGUAGAUAUUAGGAAGAACACCAGUGGCGAAGGCGGCUCACUGGCCCGGUACUGACGCUGAGGCGCGAAAGCGUGGGGGAGCAAACAGGG
rnacentral:rRNA from 1 species